UGCCAAGUGUCUUUGUCUUUCCC
rnacentral:piRNA from 1 species